rnacentral:lncRNA from 1 species
GGUAACUGAUGAUGGGAGCUCAAGUAGGAUUUAAGGAGCCCUUCAGAGAUGGUAGGAAUCAAGAUAGGUGGCCUUUCUUGUCCUGGGUUUGUAUUGUCAUCCUGAUUUCAACCAUAGAUUUUUGGUUUCUCCUUGCUUUUGGAUUUUUUUUUUCCCUCAAGGGCCCCAGCUUUUAGGGAUUACAUUUUAUAUUUUACAUACCAUUUAGCUUGCCCUGUGUCUGUAAAGGCAGGAUAUUUGAAUAUCUGAGGUUCAGAUUAGAUUGAAUUUCACAGUUUGGUUGAAUAUUGGAGUUUCUCUGUUUGCUUUGUUGUUUCUUGGUUUUAUUUCAUUUUAAGUUUAAGAUCUGUUGUUUCUUUGGAGGAGAACAAGGUGUGCUAGCAGUUACAGCAGCCAACUGGGUUGGCUUGAGAGGAGAUGGCCUGAAAAGCAGAGGUAGCCUCACAGGUCAAGGUGCCUUGACCUGUGGGUUCAAGGGAUGUUGGUUAUUUUCUUAAAAGCAAACCAACCAACCAAAAACCACAAUUCAGACUGUUCUGCAGCAGUCAGUCUUCCUGUGGUUCUUAUAGGCUAGCUUAAAUCUUGGGUAGAGAGAUGCUUAUCACAUGUGCUAUAUAUAUUUCUUUUUCCAGAUGGAUAGCAAGAAUAUUUGAAAUAAGUCCAUUUGAGCCCUGGACAACAAGGGAUAAAGUGGAGCGGAUUCACAUCACAGACAUGAAAUUUCCUAACCUGCCCGGCUUGGAAGACCUUGGUAUCGAGCCAACACCACUGGAACUCAAGGCCAUUGAGGUGCUGCGGCUUCAUCGCACUUACCGCUGGCUGACUGCUGAAAUUGAGGAUGCGAAGCCGGCCAAGACCGUCAACUUUUAGUGCCCCUCAAGCAGCUCUUGGUUUUGAUGUCUUUU